GACGAACGCUGGCGGCGUGCCUAAUACAUGCCAGUAGAACGCACAGUUUAUACCGUAGCUUGCUACACCAUAGACUGUGAGUUGCGAACGGGUGAGUAACGCGUAGGUAACCUGCCUGGUAGCGGGUGAUAACUAUUGGAAACGAUAGCUAAUACCGCAUAAUAUUAAUUAUUGCAUGAUAAUUAAUUGAAAGGUGCAAUUGCACCACUACCAGAUGGACCUGCGUUGUAUUAGCUAGUAGGUGAGGUAACGGCUCACCUAGGCGACGAUACAUAGCCGACCUGAGAGGGUGAUCGGCCACACUGGGACUGAGACACGGCCCAGACUCCUACGGGAGGCAGCAGUAGGGAAUCUUCGGCAAUGGACGAAAGUCUGACCGAGCAACGCCGCGGGAGUGAAGAAGGGUUUCGGAUCGUAAAGCUCUGUUGUAAGAGAAGAACGGGGGUGAGAGUGGAAAGUUCACACUGUGACGGUAUCUUACCAGAAAGGGACGGCUAACUACGUG
rnacentral:rRNA from 1 species